rnacentral:rRNA from 1 species
GUCUUAGGCCACAUCACACUGAACCUGUCUCUCUUCUGAUCUCAGAAGCUAAGCAGUGUCAGGCUUAGUUAGUACCUAGAUAGGAAAAUCUGCCUUCAAAUAUU